GAUGAAGAACGCAGCGAAAUGCGAUAAGUAAUGUGAAUUGCAGAAUUCAGUGAAUCAUCGAAUCUUUGAACGCACAUUGCGCCCGCUAGUAUUCUGGCGGGCAUGCCUGUUCGAGCGUCAUUUCAACCCUCAAGCCCCCGGGCUUGGUGUUGGGGAUCGGCGUGCCCUCGCGGCGCGCCGUCCCCUAAAUCUAGUGGCGGUCUCGCUGUAGCUUCCUCUGCGUAGUAGCAACACUCGCACUGGAUCGCAGCGCGGCCACGCCGUUAAACCCCCCACUUCUGAAAGUUUGACCUCGGAUCAGGUAGGAAUACCCGCUGAACUUAAGCAUAUCAAUAAGCGGAGGA
rnacentral:misc_RNA from 1 species